rnacentral:rRNA from 1 species
UGGGGAAUAUUCGGCAAUGGGCGCAAGCCUGACCGAGCCAUGCCGCGUGAGUGAUGACGGCCUUAGGGUUGUAAAGCUCUUUCACCGGGGACGAUAAUGACGGUACCCGGAGAAGAAGCCCCGGCUAACUUCGUGCCAGCAGCCGCGGUAAUACGAAGGGGGCUAGCGUUGUUCGGAAUUACUGGGCGUAAAGCGCACGUAGGCGGCUUGGUAAGUCGGGGGUGAAAUCCCGGGGCUCAACCCCGGAACGGCCCUCGAUACUGUCUGGCUGGAGUCCGGAAGAGGUGAGUGGAAUUCCGAGUGUAGAGGUGAAAUUCGUAGAUAUUCGGAGGAACACCAGUGGCGAAGGCGGCUCACUGGUCCGGUACUGACGCUGAGGUGCGAAAGCGUGGGGAGCAAACAGGAUUAGAUACCCCCGUAGUCC